AGGCUUGGAUAACAUCGAAGCCAAACUAGCUUAACGUAGGACACGAACAGGCACAUACACGUAAUAGCUAAGCCGGUGAACGGAAAGCAAGGUGAUUCCCACAGUAGUUUGUGUGUGUAUCUUCGCUCUGUUGACCGUACCUCUCCGAAAUCGAGCUAUUUACCACGCUUUUUCGAAUCGUUCUACCUCCAAGAGUGAGGAAGAAAAAGCUGGAAAGGGAGAAAGGAAAAGAGAGAGAGAGAGAGAGAGAGAAAGAGGGAAGUCCAUUAAUCAUGAAACAGGAACGCGAGAGAUAGGAUAGCGUCACGGAAAUGAGGCAAAAAUGCCGUAGAAGAGCGGCGCAUAAUUCGCUGGCAAACUCCCGUCCGGAAAAUACUAUCGAGCAAGGAAACGAUUUGUAGCCCGAUCAUAGAUUAUAGCGACGAUACAAGAAAAACAAUAGUUUGGACUUUAAAGAGACUCGGAGGUUUUAAGAAAAGCUCGACGCUAUAGUUUUCUUGAACAAGAAAUAGCGUAUACGUGAGAUACAGACAUUUAUUUUGAAGACAAUGGUAGAGGCUACAUAAAGAAUAAAGCCUGUAAUAAAGGAGAAAUGAUGGCAUUAUCGUUAAAAAAGGAGAAAAAUUAUAAAAACCGUGAUAGGAGGCAAAAAAUUGUGGUUAUUAAAAUCCACUGAGAGGACGAAAAUAAUAAAACACAUCGAAUGUUAGAUGCAUAUAUUUAAAUGAGAAAGGAGAAAAAACAGAGAUAAUUAUUAUGCGAAUAUUUACGCUACAAAAGAUAUAAAUCAUAUUCGCAUAUAUGUCAAAACAUUUAAUUUUUAAUUUAGUUUAAAAAAAUAGAAGAUAUCCUAAUCGAAUGAUUAAAGAUUUAUGUAAAUAAUAAAUUAGAUUUGAUAUAAUAAUAAAUAGUAAUAAAUUUGAUUUAUCAAAAUAGCAUCAAAUUAUCUGCAAAAAUACGUGGUUAUAUACCGUAUUUAAUUUUUAAUAAGUUUAUUAUUAUAAUGAUGAUUUAAAUAUUUCCCUACAUAAUUUGUUAAUAUACUAAAUGAGUUUGCAGUUAAUAUUUGAUGUAUUAUCGACUGGAACGUUUGCUUCUGCAAAUUACCCUCCAUGUUUAAUUUUAAUAAUUGCAAUUUAUUUAAAAGGAAAAAUGCUUGUAUAUAUAAAAUAAAAUAC